rnacentral:misc_RNA from 1 species
GAUGAAGAACGUAGCGAAAUGCGAUAAGUAAUGUGAAUUGCAGAAUUCAGUGAAUCAUCGAAUCUUUGAACGCACCUUGCGCCCUUUGGCCAUUCCGAAGGGCAUGCCUGUUUGAGUAUCAUGAACACCUCAACUCUUCAUGGUUUUCCAUGAUGAGCUUGGACUUUGGGGGUCUUGCUGGCCUGUGGGUCGGCUCCUCUCAAAUGAAUCAGCUUGCCGGUUUUUGGUGGGCAUCACAGGUGUGAUAACUAUCUACGCUUGUGGUUUUCCACCAGGGUAACCUUCAGCAGUGGAGGUUCACUGGAGCUUACAAAUGUCUCUCCUCUGUGAGGACAGCCCUUUGAAUGUUUGAUCUCAAAUCAGGUAGGACUACCCGCUGAACUUAAGCAUAUCAAUAAGCGGAGA